CGUAGGUGGCAAGCGUUGUCCGGAUUUAUUGGGUUUAAAGGGUGCGUAGGCGGCUUUGUAAGUCAGUGGUGAAAUAUGGCAGCUCAACUGUCAGGGUGCCAUUGAUACUGCGGAGCUUGAGUACAGAUGAGGUAGGCGGAAUUGACGGUGUAGCGGUGAAAUGCUUAGAUAUCGUCAAGAACACCGAUAGCGAAGGCAGCUUACUAGGCUGUAACUGACGCUGAGGCACGAAAGUGUGGGGAUCAAACAGGAUUAGAUACCCUGGUAGUCCACACUGUAAACGUUGAUGACUCGCUGUUGGCGAUACACGGCCAGCGGCAGAGAGAAAUCGUUAAGUCAUCCACCUGGGGAGUACGCCGGCAACGGUG
rnacentral:rRNA from 1 species